CACGUAGGGGGCGAGCGUUGUCCGGAUUUAUUGGGCGUAAAGAGCUCGUAGGCGGCUCAGUAAGUCGGGUGUGAAAACUCCAGGCUCAACCUGGAGACGCCACCCGAUACUGCUGUGGCUAGAGUCCGGUAGGGGAGUAUGGAAUUCCUGGUGUAGCGGUGAAAUGCGCAGAUAUCAGGAGGAACACCAAUGGCGAAGGCAGCUCGCUGGGACGUGACUGACGCUGAGACGCGAAAGCGUGGGGAGCAAACAGG
rnacentral:rRNA from 1 species